GCACCAGUAGCUCAGUUGGUAGAGCAGCUGACUCUUAAUCAGCGGGUCCUAGGUUCGAGCCCUAGCUGGUGCA
rnacentral:tRNA from 1 species